CCUCUCCUGAACAUGCACACCCGGCUCACAGAGCCCACCAUGGACCUGAACUGGAGCUUCCUCAUCUUGGUGGCAGCAGCUACAGGUGUCCACUCCCAGGUGCAGCUGGAGCAGCCUGGGGCUGAAGUGAGGAGGCCUGGAGACUCGGCCAAGUUGUCCUGCAGGGCCUCUGGAUACACCUUUACCAGCGACUACAUGCACUGGGUGAGGCAGAAGUCAGGACAGGGGCUUGAGUGGAUUGGACGGAUUGACCCUGAGGAUGGUGGGACCGAAUAUGCUCCAAAGUUCGAGGGCAAGGCCUCCCUGACUGCAGACACCUCCUCCAGCACUGCCUACAUGGAGCUGAGCAGCCUGACAGCUGACGACUCGGCCGUGUAUUACUGUGCGAGGCACAGUGUAGUUGAUUACUGGGGCGAUGGGUGGGAAUGUUUCAGAGACAUUGAAUUCAUAAGGUCCAAUUCUUAA